rnacentral:rRNA from 1 species
AGAAAGUACUACAGAUCCUUAGUACGGCGAGUGAACAGGGAAGAGCCCAGCACCGAAGCCUGUGGCCGUUUGGUCAUUAGGCAAUGUGGUGUUCAGGUUGUUCCGCAGAGACACUGCUCCACCCCAAGUCCAGCAAUGAGUACGGUAGUCUGGACCUGGCCCAUUGAGGGUGAAAGGCCCGUAAGGGUGGAGACUCGGUCGGCCAGUGUCUCUCUGGAUAGACCUUGGAGUCGGGUUGUUUGUGAAUGCAGCCCAAAGCGGGUGGUAAACUCCAUCCAAGGCUAAAUACUAGCACGAGUCCGAUAGCGAACAAGUACCGUGAGGGAAAGUUGAAAAGAACCUGAAGAGAACGAUCACUUUUCCUCAGGGUACUUGUUCCUAUCGGAUCGUGCUAGUAUUUAGCCGUGGAUUGUAUUUUUAAUCGCUUUGGGCUGCAUUCCAAACAACCCGACUCCAGGUCUAUCGGAGGGAACUGGCGACCGAGUCUCCCCCUUAGGGCUUUACCUCAAUGGCAGUCGACUACCUAUCAUUGCUGACUUGGGUGCACACUGUUCUGCUAACACUGAACACAUUGCUAAAGACAAACACCACAGCUACGUGCUGGCUCUUCCUAUUCACUCGCCUUUACUAAGGAAAUCUUGUUUGAUUUCUUUUUUCUCCCUUAAAUGAAUCUGCUUAAUUUCGGCGGAUAA